CAGUAGCCGCGGUAAUACGAAGGGGGCUAGCGUUGCUCGGAAUGACUGGGCGUAAAGGGCGCGUAGGCGGCGAUCAAAGUCAGGCGUGAAAUUCCUGGGCUCAACCUGGGGGCUGCGCUUGAUACUUGGUUGCUUGAGUGGGGAAGAGGGUCGUGGAAUUCCCAGUGUAGAGGUGAAAUUCGUAGAUAUUGGGAAGAACACCGGUGGCGAAGACGGCGACCUGGUCCUUGACUGACGCUGAGGCGCGAAAGCGUGGGGAGCAAACAGGAUUAGAUACCCGUGUAGUCCCUGUCUCUUAUAC
rnacentral:rRNA from 1 species